rnacentral:rRNA from 1 species
UACGUAGGGGGCGAGCGUUGUCCGGAUUUAUUGGGCGUAAAGAGCUCGUAGGCGGUUCGGUAAGUCGGGUGUGAAACCUCCAGGCUCAACCUGGAGUCGCCACUCGAUACUGCUGUGACUAGAGUCCGGUAGGGGAGAGUGGAAUUCCUGGUGUAGCGGUGAAAUGCGCAGAUAUCAGGAAGAACACCCGUGGCGAAGGCGGCUCUCUGGGACGGUACUGACGCUGAGACGCGAAAGCGUGGGGAGCGAACAGG